rnacentral:rRNA from 1 species
GAUGAACGCUAGCUACAGGCUUAACACAUGCAAGUCGAGGGGAAACGACAUCGAAAGCUUGCUUUUGAUGGGCGUCGACCGGCGCACGGGUGAGUAACGCGUAUCCAACCUGCCCAUCACUUGGGAAUAACCUUGCGAAAGUAAGACUAAUACCCAAUGACAUCCCACGAAGACAUCUGAAUGGGAUUAAAGAUUUAUCGGUGAUGGAUGGGGAUGCGUCUGAUUAGCUUGUUGGCGGGGUAACGGCCCACCAAGGCAACGAUCAGUAGGGGUUCUGAGAGGAAGGUCACCCACAUUGGAACUGAGACACGGUCCAAACUCCUACGGGAGGCAGCAGUGAGGAAUAUUGGUAAAUGGGCGAGAGCCUGAACCAGCCAAGUAGCGUGCAGGAUGACGGCACUAUGGGUUGUAAACUGAUUUUAUAAGGGAAUAAAGUGGGUCUCGUGAGACUUUUUGCAUGUACCUUAUGAAUAAGGAACGGCUAAUUCCGUG